UGGGGAAUAUUGGACAAUGGGCGCAAGCCUGAUCCAGCCAUGCCGCGUGAGUGAUGAAGGUCUUAGGAUUGUAAAGCUCUUUCACCGGUGAAGAUAAUGACGGUAACCGGAGAAGAAGCCCCGGCUAACUUCGUGCCAGCAGCCGCGGUAAUACGAAGGGGGCUAGCGUUGUUCGGAAUUACUGGGCGUAAAGCGCAUGUAGGCGGAUAUUUAAGUCAGGGGUGAAAUCCCGCAGCUCAACUGCGGAACUGCCUUUGAUACUGGGUAUCUUGAGUAUGGAAGAGGUGAGUGGAAUUCCGAGUGUAGAGGUGGAAUUCGUAGAUAUUCGGAGGAACACCAGUGGCGAAGGCGGCUCACUGGUCCAUUACUGACGCUGAGGUGCGAAAGCGUGGGGAGCAAACAGGGUUAGAUACCCUGGUAGUCCACGCCGUAAACGAUGAAUGCUAGCCGUCGGGCAGUAUACUGUUCGGUGGCGCAGCUAACGCAUUAAACAUUCCGCCUGGGGAGUACGGUCGCAAGAUUAAAACUUAAAGGAAUUGACGGGGUCAUAGCUGUUUCCU
rnacentral:rRNA from 1 species